rnacentral:rRNA from 1 species
UGGGGAAUAUUGGACAAUGGGCGAAAGCCUGAUCCAGCCAUGCCGCGUGUGUGAAGAAGGUCUUCGGAUUGUAAAGCACUUUAAGUUGGGAGGAAGGGCAGUAAGCGAAUACCUUGCUGUUUUAACGUUACCGACAGAAUAAGCACCGGCUAACUCUGUGCCAGCAGCCGCGGUAAUACAGAGGGUGCAAGCGUUAAUCGGAAUUACUGGGCGUAAAGCGCGCGUAGGUGGUUCGUUAAGUUGAAUGUGAAAGCCCCGGGCUCAACCUGGGAACUGCAUCCAAAACUGGCGAGCUAGAGUAGGGCAGAGGGUGGUGGAAUUUCCUGUGUAGCGGUGAAAUGCGUAGAUAUAGGAAGGAACACCAGUGGCGAAGGCGACCACCUGGGCUCAUACUGACACUGAGGUGCGAAAGCGUGGGGAGCAAACAGG